rnacentral:lncRNA from 1 species
AAAGAUUAAUCUGGGUAAAAGUGAAAUCAUCCCGGUGGGUGAGGUGGAGGAUAUUGAGGAAUUGGCAGCGGAGAUAGGAUGUAGGGUGGGAUCUUUGUCGUCCCAGUAUUUGGGUCUACCCUUAGGGGCUCCUAACAAGGCCUCCUCGGUGUGGGAUGGAGUAGAAGAAAGAGUGAGGAGAAGACUUGCGCUUUGGAAAAGGCAAUUUAUCUCUAAAGGUGGCAGAAUCACUCUGAUUAAAAGCACCUUGGCCAGCAUACCCAUUUAUCAAAUGUCUCUUUUCCGGAUGCCGAAGAUUGUGGUUAGAAGGCUAGAAAAAUUGCAAAGAGACUUCCUAUGGGGAGGGGGAAGUAUGGAGAGGAAAAUUCACCUAGUGAAUUGGGAGAUAGUGUGUGGAGAAAAAGAGAGGGGUGGGCUUGGUUUGAGGAAGCUUGGCCUAUUGAACAGAGCUUUGCUUGGAAAAUGGAUAUGAAGGUUUGCUUGUGAAAGAGAGAAUCUUUGGAAGCAGGUGAUUGUGGCAAAGUUUGGGCAAGAAGAUGAUGGAUGGAAGCCUAAUGGGGCGUUUGGGGUAGGGGUGUGGAAGGAGAUCAUGAAGGAGACUGAUUGGUGCUGGGAUAAUAUAGAGUUUAUGGUGGGGAAGGGUACUAGAAUCAGAUUUUGGACUGAUGUGUGGUGUGCGGGCUCAGCGCUGUCCCAAACCUUCCCGCACCUUUUUGUCUUGGCUGCUCAUAGGAAUGCUACGGUGGAGGAGAUGUAGGAUCAGAGUUCGGAUCAAGGAGGUUGGAAUCUAAGAUUUUUGAGGAAUUUUAAUGACUGGGAGGUGGGUAUGGUAGGAGAUCUGCUCCUUAAGCUGAGAGGGUUUAGGCCUUCUUUGGAGGAAGAUUCGGUCUCUUGGAAGGGAGGAAAAAGCGGUAAAUUCAAAGUAAAGAAAGCGUACAGCUACUUAGUCAAUCCUAUGGACACCGUUUUCCCGGAAAAAUGCAUUUGGGUGGAUAGAGUACCUACCAAGGUCGCUUUCUUUGCGUGGAAGGCUACAUGGGGGAAGGUGUUAACGCUUGAUAGACUUCAGAGAAGAGGAUGGCAACUCCCUAACUGCUGCUUUUUGUGUGGUUGUGCAGAAGAAUCUGUAAAUCAUGUCCUUAUUCACUGUAUAGUGACUAGAGCCCUUUGGGAGUUAGUCCUUGGGCUUAUAGGUGUUAAGUGGGUCUUUCCAGAAUCUGUAAAGGAGGUCUUGUUUAGCUGGAAAGGUCACUGGGUGGGAAAAAAAAGGAAAAAGAUUUGGAAGGCCAUCCCGUUAUGCAUAUUUUGGACGGUUUAGAAAGAAAGGAAUAGGUUAGCCUUUAAAGGGGGUGUGAUACAUAGACAGAAGCUAAAGAAUUUUUUUGUUUGUAAUUUGUGGGGUUGGGCUAGAUUGGAUAUUGGAGAUAACUCUCUCUCCCUUCUAGGCUUUCUAGAGUGGCUAGCUGCCACUUAGGGGAGGUGAGGUCUUCUUGGUCCCUUUUGUUUUUUGGUUGUGAGGCUUUAGCUGCCUUGUAUAUCUCCUGUAUACUGUGUGGCUAUUGGCCUCUUUUUUAAUAUACAUUGACGUACUUAUCAAAAAAAAAAUAAUAUAGUGAACAUAAACAUUUGACUACAUUUUCACAUUAUAGUUAAAUCUAACAUUGAAUUUCCUAACUCACCUUUGUAUGCCAGGAUAUAUUAGAAACAAUUUUAAAACAUGUCAGAGAUAUUACCUUUGUCAUGGCGCUCAAGCCUGACUUGGAAGACACAUAGGCUACUCCUCCAGGUAACUGUCCCCGAUUAAGAGCAGCAAUGGAAGAAAUAUUGAUGAUUGAUCCUCCAUUCUUGGCAUCCCUCAUGCGCAUACCGACAUAUUUUGACACCAACCAUGAUCCCGUCAAGUUUGUCUUCAGAGUAUUAUUCCAUUCCUCCUCAGAUAUAUCCAGAGGAGAGUUCACAUUGCCUAAGGCACACAGGGCACAGGGCAUGGGUUAAAUACAUCUACCACGCAUUACGUUCACAAAUAUUAGCAGAACACCAGAGAUAAAUUAAAUGAGUAAUAUUGAUAAGAAAAAUAUAUGUGAUUGACUCGGUAUAGAUACCCAGUUGACUCGCUAAUCUUUUUCAUUAAACAAAUAGUUUCAAAUUUCAGUUCGAACUGAAUGAAAUGAAACGUGCGCUAGAAUUGAAAGUAUGAGAAAAACAAGGUUUCCAAAAGCCAGCUGCAAAACGGGAAAUUCAGGAUACAGGAAUAUCAGGAUCGUGCAAAACCCCAUAAAUUCAAAAAUUGAAAACCAUGAAACGAGAAAUCAGGUAAAUUAAUACUAUACCCUACAUAUUCACCCCUUAGAUGAUUGAAAUUUUAAUUUCGUUUCUUCAUUCAGAUUUCGCGUGAACCAAACGGCAGGUAGAAGUGCUCAAAGAAAAAAAAAUCAAAAUUGCCUCAGUCCGUUGCAUUCCUAAAAUAUCAGAACCUCAUCAACCACAAGAUUCCAAAUUCCCUUUCCUUUUUUCCAAACAGAAACUAAACUCUUUUCCAAAGUCAAAUCAAAAUUUACCUCUAAUGCCCGCAUUAUUUAGCAAAGCAUCGAUACGUCCAAAGGCCUCCCAAGCCUUCUGAACGGAGGCGCCGAUUGAGGAGCCAUCGCUGGUGACGUCAAGUUCGACUGCUACGGCUCGGAGAGGCGGAUCAGCGUUUGGAGGAAGGUUCGAGUGGGUGAGGUUGUUGAUCUCGUCGCAGAGAGACUUGAGUCGGUCAACUCGGCGGGCGGCCGCCACGAUCUUGCAGCCGGCUUUGGCGAGGUUGAGGCAGAACUCGCUGCCGAGACCCGAGGAAGCGCCGGUGACCAUGACCACCUUGCCCUCCAGGUCUUGCCAUGGCUCGAGGUGGUUCGCGACUUGGGACGCCAUCAAUGUGGUUGAGAGUCUCUAGAGAAAGUAGGCACCAGCUUUUAGAGGGAAAAAAAGUAAAGCAAAGAAAAUUUGAUAAGAUGAAAAUAAAUAAUAAAUAAUUAAAAGGGGAAAUAAACUCCUCUAUAUAUUCUAUUGCGACAUUGCGUGAUCAAAUUCCAUUUGUUUAUGUAUCGCCUUUGUAGUGAAUCUAGUGAUGAUGCCAUCGGAUUGUUUGCAGUGAAUUGUCGGAAUUGUUUUUAGUCAUUCUAAUAAUUAAAAAUAAAAAUUUUCAAAUAUUAAAAAUUAAAAAAUUUUAAAUAUUAAAAAUGUUAAAAACGCUUCCUAUAAUAAUUGUUAAAUAGACUCUAAGAGUAUAUUUGAAAGUAAUUCUAAAAAAUAUUUUUAGUAUUUUUAUUAAUGUGUUUUUAAGUAUUAAAAAUAUUAAAAAUACUUUCUAAAAUCACUAUCAAACUAAAAGUGCAUUUAAAAGUAAUUUUAAAAAAUAUUUUUAACAUUUCUAAUACUUAAAUAAUAAAAAACUUCAAGUGUUAAAAAAAUUUAAAACAUUCCAUAAAAUCACUACCAAAUAGAGUCUAAGUUUGUGAAGGGAUCAACACUUAAUAAGUCAUAUUUUAUUAUACAUCUUUCUAAAAUUAGUAUUAAGAAACCAAUUUUUCAGUGUCCAAUAAUUUUCCCUAUUGGUAUAAUUUUCUAAUUACGUAAAAUAAAAAUGGUCAUCAAGGGAAAAUAAUUUUUGAGAACAAACUUUUGCUUAUGAUUUUUUUAUUAUUACUCAAAAAGAGCAUAUUUUAUAUAAUAAUUAUCACGAAUUUCAUAUCUUUUGAGUAGUAACUAUACCUAAAACACUCAAUUAACAUGUUUUUACUUUUGCAAGAAUUACUAAAAAGUCUUAUGAAGUUUUGGGGUAAUUUCAAGGUAUGUUUUUUAUAAAUAGGUGACAAAAGAGAUGAAUCAAAUUAAAGAAAACAAAUAAAGUUGAUGAUGAUCCAAAUGCAUAAUGAAAGAGGCAAUCCAAUCAGUUUGGAUUGGGAUUUGGAGGUAGUUGAAGUGGAAUCAAAAUGAAGAAAUGAGAGAAAUUGCAAAAAGAAGUUGAAAAACCAUGUUUUUCAAUUUCACAUAAACACGAGAAAAAUUCGCACAGUCAUGCAAAUUGAAAUAGAAUGGACUUUGGCUGCAGCACACAAGGGGAAAAGUGAAAAUUGAUUUCGCAUGACCAUACGAAACGCUCCAAGAAGACGAAAAUGGUGCUGAUGGAUUUUCCACUUCGCACAAUCGUGCGAAAUUGUUGGAGCUCAUGCGAAAUUGUUGGAGCUCGUGCGAAAUUGCAUCUUUUCCAAAUUUCUUGAUGAAAAAGUCUCCGGAAGACCUUUUAGAUGAUGCCAAGUGUCCACUUGACCUUGGCCUAUAAAUAGAAACUUGAUUUACUCAUUUAGGGAUUUUUGAUACAUUUCCUAAUUGUAGAAUUUUCCAAAUUUCUUCUCUCUAUAUAAUUCUCUACUUUCCUUCAUUUUCUCUCAUUUUCUCGGUAGCCAAACAUGUCUUGUGAGAUCAAAUCUCAAAGUAUGAGUGGCUAAAUCUUGUUUUUCUUGGAAGAGAAAGGAUAUAGAGAUAAGAUCUAUGGUGAAUUAGAGAAAUGAGAUUAAAUUGCAAAGGUAAUUUGAUCCAAUUGAUUGAUUAAUUGAAAUUUUGAGAUUUUUCUCUUCAAAUUGUCUUGGAUGAUUACGACAAUGUAAGUUAGGUACAUUCAUCAAAUUCUUAAAGUUAGAUUUGAUGAGAUUGAAUAGUUACAUUGUGUGAAUCAUUGGCAGAUAAUUUAAGAUGAAUUGAAUAUAUGAUUUGAAUUGAUCUCUUAGAUUAAACGACCUAAUUUGAAGAGAAAUUAGAUCUAAACCUAAAGUCAAAUCAAAAAUCGGUUUAGAUGAAAAUUUAGGUUUUCAAUCUAACUUGAUGAAAAUUAGAUCUCAACAUCUAUUCACCAUGGAAAUUGUUUUCUAGAAAAUCCUAACUCCGAGAAUUUUAUCUCCUAUUAAUUUUCUUUUAUUUUACAUUUUAUUUUUCUUCUCAAUUUUAGACCAUUGUCAAAUUAAUUUUUCAUCAUGAAUUUUCAAAUCAAUUUCACUUGAUCACAAUCAUUUCUUAUCCUUUCAUUCAAGCCUUAAUUACCGAGAAUAAUCCAUCCUAGUGGACGACACCUAAAAACCACUAUAUUACAGUAGUUUGUACUAAAAUUGUUUUUAAUCGGGUACAAUCUACUUUAGAAUAGUGAAUUAGGUUAUAAAUUUUGUUUUGAUCAAAUAAAUGACAAAAAUCUAAGCGAUCAAUUUUGUAUAUAAAAAAUAAUUUUUUUCACUUAUUCUCGAUAAAACUUAUAAUGUAAAAGUUUUCAAAAUAUUUUUUUAAUAUUUUUUCUUUAUUUUUUGAAAAAUUUUGAUAAAUAAAAUAUGAAAAUACUUUUAAAUUAUUUUUAAAAUAACCUAUUUUCACAACAACAUUUUGAAAAAAACUUUUUUUAUUUUCUCAAAAUUUGGUCAAAUAUAUUCUCUAAGUUGGAGAGUGUCUAAUAUCCUUGUAAAUGUAUUUGGACAAAGUUUUGGAUUUUUAUUAUUUACUUUUGCUUUUAACAGCAAAACUCACUUUAAAAAUCCAAAAAAUAAAAUGAGUUUGGAAAACAAAAUCCAAACUUUAAUCAAAUUUAAAUCCUUUAAUUUUCUCAUUUGUUAAAAGAAUCUCAUAUUUUAUGCCAUUGAUGAAUAAGAAAAAACUUCUUACAUCUCUUAUAAGAAUCAUCUAUCAAUAUUUGAGUAUAUUUUUUUUUAGUGAUGCAUGGUGUUAAUUGAUUGAACUAAAAUUGUAUAAUAAAACCUGUCAAUAGGGAUGACAAUUUAGACACGACACGAUAAUGCAAUUUGAAAAUGAUUGGAUUGUUAAUGUGUUUGGGUUUGCAUGUGAUUGUGUUGUGUCUUAAUAAACAUGUCUUAUUUGGGUUUUCAUUAUUCACCUUGUUUAUGAUUUAUUUGCUUAAUUGUAUCAAAAUAAUUUAUUUAAUCCAUAUAAAUUUAAUAAUUUUAUACAUUCCAAUUAUAAAAAUAAUAAAUACUUUGUUAAUUAUAAAUAUCAUAUAGUAAAAACAUUAAAUAACUAAAUAAAAUUACAUUUGAUUAGUAAGAUUAAAAAUAGUUUAUAGUUAAAAUUUUAAAUAAAAUAAUAAGUAAAUGUAAAAAUUAAAAUAUUAUCCUACUUUUUAUAUUAUGAUCAAAAUUAAAUAAUUACAUUAAUUAAGAUUAAAAAUUAAAGCAAAUGAAAAGUAUUUUAGAAUAAUAUAUUUAUAAAGUUAAAUUCCAAAAUAGGUUAAACGGGUUAUAAUCAUGUUAACUAGUUAAAAUCAUACUAAUGGAUUAUUAUGUCCGAUUUAACCCAUUUAUUAAAUGAGUUAAAUGGGUUGUAUUGAGUUACCUAUAUAAUAAAUGAGUUGUGUUUAUGUUGAAUGUUUCCGACAUGAUUAUUAAAUAAGUCAUAUUUAAAUUAAAUAAAUUUUUACUAUUUUUUUUUUACUUUGAAGACAUUGCCAUCCCUACUUGCUCACAUGCAUUUAAACAAAAAAAUCUUGUAAUUUUCUCUCCAAUCCUUAUCAUUUUUCCCAUCGGCAAGUUCCCUAUUAGGAAAAGAAAUUCCUUGUAUACAUCUCUCAUCCCCAUUCAUGGUCUUUGAAUUCAUAUUUAAAAUUUUCAAAUAUAUAUAUAUAUAUAUAUAUAUAUAUAUAUAUAUAUAUAUAUAUAUAUAUAUAUAAACUAAUAUAUUUUAUAGUGAAUAUGAUAAUUUUUAAAAAAAUAAAUAAAUAUAAAAUUAUAUAUAAAGAAAUAUAUUUAAUAUUAUAUGUAUAUGGUUUGGGUGGGUUUUGGAUAGGGAAUAGUUUCAUUUCCCUGGUCGAGGUUCCCCAUCCCUAAUCCGACUCCAUUAGGGAUGGAUUCCCCAGGGGCACAACUUGGCUGGUUUUUUAUGCCAUCCUUGCUGGAGGGUGGGUUGGGAACUGUUGCCCAAAGCAUGGCCCAUGGGCCCCAACAUUGGCAAAAUCUUGAAACCCUUUAAGAUUAAGCUUGUUAUCUGUUUAUGUAUAUGUGCCGCCAUUUAGAUUGCAGGCCUAAAAAACUUAUAUAGUUUAUGAAGACAUGACCCAACAGGCCCAUCGGGCCACUUGUAUUCCUCUUUAACUUGACACCAAAAGCGCAUUUGGUCGGGUUGAGCUUCAUAUUGUAUGCUUUCAUUAGGCAAAAUGUUUCCUCUAAGUGUAGGACGCGUUUGCUCUGGGUUUUGUUUUUUACCACAAUAUCAUCAAUAUAGACUUCUACGGUUCGGCUGAUCAAGGGUUUGAAGAUUUUUGUCAUCAACCUUUAAUAAGUGGUUCCAACAUUCUUAAGCCCAAAUGGCAUAACCCUAUAGCAGUAUAAUCUGUGCAGCAUCACGAAGGCGGUUUUCUUUUCAUCCGGUUGGAACAUCGGGAUCUGGUGGUACCCGGAGAAUGUGUCUAUGAAAGAGAGCAUCUCAUACAUGGUAGUGGACUCAACUAUCUGAUCUAUUCGAGGUAGAGGGAAGCUAUCUUUCAGGCAAGCAUCAUUCAGGUUGGUGUAAUCAACACAGACUCGCCACUUUCCUCCUUUCUUUGGAACAACCACUACAUUCGCCAACCAAUCCAGAUAUUAUACUUCCUUGAUAAACCCGAUUGUCAGCAACUUGUCCACAUUGAAUUGGAUGAUCUUUUGCUUGUCUGGAUGGAAGCGUCUGACUUUCUGGCAAACGGGUCACGAGGAAGGUAUGAUAUUGAGUCGAUGUAAGGCUACCGAUGGAUGGAUUCUGGGCAUAUCAAAGUGAGUCCAUGCGAAAACAUCCUUGUUCUACUAAAGCACUCCUUCGAGUAAUUUUAAUUCUUUUAGUGCUAGGAGAGAGCUAGCAUAGGUAACACGAUCACUGCUACCUGAGAGAUGCAAGGGUUGGAGCGAGUCUGCUGCUGACAGAUCUUUUUUCGUCAGGCUCUGUAAUUGCUAUUGCUCCUUCGUAUUUGUCAGUCUCGUGUGUGGCUCACUGUUGCUUGGGAGUCCGAAAUUGAGUACCGCUUGAUAGCACUAGCACGUAGCCAACUUACUACCAUAAAGGUCGAUUUGUCCGUCCUCGGUGAGGUAGCUUACCAUCUGAUGAUACGUAGAGGGAAUGACUUUCAUGUUGUGAAGCCACGUGCGCUCCAUGAUGGUGUUAAAAUGGGAUAAGUCCUCUACUAUCGAGAACUGCACAUUCUGGGUGAUCAUACCAACUUGGACGGGUAAUACGAUGUCACCUAAAGACGUUGUCGUUGUCCCAUUGAACCAAAUAAUAUCUGUUUUGGGUUUUCUAGGGCAAUCGGCAGGAGUCUCAUUUGUUUGUAUGACGACAUUUGCAAGAGGUCAACUGAGCUGCCCAGAUCAACCAAAAUCCUUCUUACAUCAAACCCAUUUAUCCCUAAUGUUAGAACUAGGGCGUCUUCAUGUGGUUGUAGUACUCGGUUGGGGUUUACUGGAGGGAAGGUUAUUAUCCCGUCCAUUAGGCAUGCACCUUGAUUACUACUCAAAAAGUGUUAUUUCAUAGCUUGUAAUUAACUCUUUUAAACACUUUUGAGUAGUAGUUAUUGCCUUUUAACCCAAUUAACAUGUUAAGGACCCUUGCAAUCACUUCUAAUCAAUUUGUGUUAAGUUUUGGUGUUUUGAUAGCUUUUUUAUCACCAAAGCAAUCCGAGAUUGAGGAGAGUUAUUUGGAAUCUAUGGCAAAGCAAUGGAAAGCUCAGAAACAUGAAGAACCAAAGCUUUGAAGUCCUUUGUCAUAAGCAAAUCCGGAAUGCAAGGAGGAGAAGCAAAGAGAAAUCUGCCAUGAAGCAUUCUUGAUGAUAGCCAUGUCAGCCACUUUUAGAGCACUUCCUGAAGUCUAAUUUAUGCAUGCUAUAUGUCGUUUCGAAGCUCAGGAAGUCAACAAUCCAAUGCUUCAAAUGGUGUUCAAUUUGGAGUUGAAAUGAAGGAAUUACAGCCAUUACAAGUUGAUCACUCUAAGUUGAAGGAAGAAUUUUGCACAGCGCUGCGAAAUCACCCUUUUGUUGCGAGAUGAUUUCGCAGCCUUUUUGUACAGUGCUGUGGAUUCUCCCCUGAAGUUUCCCGUCACAAUGGAAGCCGAAUACCGCAAGCUGAAAGCCAACUUCGCAGCGCUGCGAAAUCAGCCUUUUGCUGCGAAGUGAUUUCGCAGCCCUUUUUGUGCUUCUACGAAAUCUCGUAGACCUCGUUUUCACCUGCGAAAUGGUCCUUAGUGCUUCCCGAUAUUUGUGACCGACACUUUUGGAUAUUUUGCUUCAGAUUUUUGAUAACUAAAUCCUCAUUUUCUCCUUGUAACCCACCAAUUAUAGGAUUUCUUAGUUAUUAAGUUUGGCAAAGGGGUGAAUAACCUUAGAUAUUUUGUUUUGUAAUUUUCUUUAUAUAUAGCUCUCGGGAGCUUGUUCUUAUAUAGAAUUAUGUAAUCCGACGGGAUAUAGAUUUAUAAAUAUAUAGAAUAUACAGAGCCUUGCUCUGUUUUUUCUUUCUCUUUCAUUUUCAUUUUCUUGCUAAUCAAACUCUGAAGAUUUUUCCUCAGAUGAUGAGAGGCUAGGCUCUUCGUCUCUUGGAGCUAAGGUAACCGGGUAAGUUUUCCACAUGCAUAAAUUGGAAGUUUUGUUGUUUUAGUUUUUAAUGAAGAGAAAGUGUGACCCGUUAAUGGUUUUUAUCUUUUUAGUUAACUUAAAACGCCUUUAAUUCACCUGAGCCAACACUUGGUAAGGCAAGUGAUCUCCGUCCAUGGAGAUGCACUAGUUUAUCUCUUGCGAGCUUUUGGUAGGUGGUUUGAAGGUAGGAUUUUCUAGAAUAGCCAACACUUGUUAAGAUUUUGGACUCCAAUGAGACAUCCAUUAGUUAUCUCUUGCGAGCUUUUGAUGGGUAAUCCAAGGUUAAAGAUCACCUUGAAUGACAAAUGCUAGGUGAGAGGCACGAGUCAUUGCAAGGUGCAUCAAUGAGAGGGAUUUAGUGUUUGAACCCAUUAAUGGGAAGUAUCUGUACAACACUGGUUAGAGAAUUAACUACAUGUUAAUUCUCUAAUGCGAGGAAAAGAAACAAGUGACCAGAACUCUCCUUUUUGUAUGAGGAAUCUGAGCCUAGUGAUCUGAAACUCCAAGAAACACUUUUCUUUGUAAGUAAAAUCAGUUGCUAUUUUUGGUUAGUUUAAAACCAAACUUUUUUCAUUCAAACAUCUUUAUGUUUUCUUUUAAAGCUAACCUUGAAAUGAAAAGGCACCAAUUCAGCUUUGAAUUAAUAUCAUUUGCAAAGUGAAAACCCAUCCCAGUGAACGAUCCUAGAGCCACUAUGCUAUAAUAGCUUUGUCUUUGCUAUCCUAGUAAAUGGUGUAAUAGGUUAUAAAUUUUGUUGAUUACUCCCUCAAUCAAGGAGCACCAGCUGGACACGAAUCAACUGAGACACCAAUUGGGCAUGAAUCACACCUUCACUCGGCAAACUAUGUUGGAUAGAGCUAACCUACUCCCUCACGAAAGCCACUCGUAGCAAUCUUUGUCUCUUUUGUUUGGAAUUGUAUUUUUCGUCAACGAGACCCCCAUGAAUGUAGUUGAUGAUAGCUCUAAGAGCUUCCGAAGUUGUGGACACUUGGAUAGCCAAAUCCCGGGUGGUUUCCCUUUGUCCUUCGAUUGAGCGGAUGUAUCAUUUUAAGUGCUUGGCCUUAAUUAGUCUUUCCACUAAGUAGUGGAAACUUCUGCAUUGUUUCGUGGUGUGGCCAUGAUCUUUGUGAUAGGCACACUUCCUGUUCUAAUCCCGUUUCGUCGAAUCUGUCUUAAUUGACUCUGGCCAUCUAAAAUCAGACAGAUCACAAAUCAUGGGAAGGAGUUUGUCGUAUGAAAUGCUAAGGGGGGUCAGACUAGCUUGGCUUGGCUGCUGCUGGUCGUCUCGCUUCUUGCUGACUUGCCUUAGUUGGUUUGAGAGCUUAGAAUUUUCGGCAUGAUCGUUCCUGGCGGAUCGACGAGUGACCAGGACCUGCUGUGUAGUCUUACAAACAUCGUCUUCAAGAUGGAGUACUUGUUUACUCGUUUGAAUAGGUCAUCCAUUGUCGCUGAUAGUUUCUUAACGAGAGAUUCGAAGAAAUGCGUACUCGGACAAAUGCUUCUUUUGAAGAUUUGUAGGAUGACGUCCAUGCUACAAGACUCUACUUGGAGCACGACCUGUCCGAACAGUUUCACAAACUCCCUCAAUGAUUCAUUUUCCUACAUUUUUAUGUUUUGCGGGGUACUUAUGUUCUAUUUGUCAUGCCGAGCAUAGGUAGUGUCCCACAAAGGCUUCUGAUAGAUCCUAGAAAUUACUCACAAAAUUCUUUAGGAGAUGGUGGAACUACGAAAGGGCCUAGCCAUGUAAGCUAGUUGGAAAGACUUUGCAUAAUAGCACAUCGUUCCCUAUGUUGAGGGUCAUGAGCUGCCUAUAAUGCAUGAUAUGAUCAAACAGAUCACUUGUUUCGUCAUAUGUCAUGAAUUUUGGUACCAUGAACCCUCUUGGGGGCUAGUAGUUGAUGAUGUAAAGGCUAAAAAGCAUGGAGAGCAUGUCACCCAAUCGUCUACUGACAGAGCCAAGCAGUCCUCGUUCUGUCAGAGCCCCUACUUGUUGUUAUGCUGGUGGACGAGAAGGCCAUUCUAGCAUGACCAUUGUAAUCGAGAAACCAAGGCAGGCUUCCUGGGUCGCUGCUACACAUGGUUUCCCUUCCAUGCCAGGUGUCUGAGGUCUUAGCCGAGCUCACAUUGUGUCUGAUAGUUGUGACCUUCUAUCACACCUCUUUUUUGUGGAGAUGUGGGUAGAGUCAGAGCUUUCAUCUAACAGUGCUUGGCAAGUUGGUAGAAACUUUUCUUUAGGUCGUAUCUCCUGGCUACCAGAGAUGAACUUUGCGUCCCUAAGAAAUGACAUUUUUUCGUUUUGUUUGGAGUUUGUUCACUGGCUCUUAGGCUGUCGGCUACGAGGGGGGCUUGACGAAGACACCUGGAUGCGUAACACUUCAAUUUCUUCUCUAAGUCUCCUUGUCUCACAGAGCAAGGACUGUACCUGUCGUUUGCUCUCUUGUUGGCGUCUUUCCAUGUUUUCACACUAGUCGAAGUAGCCAUCGCUACCCAUGGCUGAUGAUCGGCUCCUUGAGGGCGUCGACAUUCUUAACAUUUCCCACAAAUAGCACCAAUGUUGAUGCGAGGUUAACUGGAGUCAGAUCCGCCUUAUGUUGUGCCACUGAGAGCUUUUACCCAGCAACAAGGGACUAAGUGAGCUUUUUCCCUACACAAAGGAUGUCCGGACAAGGUGUCUGAGCACGCCCCUCUGAAGCUUAAGUCAGACACAGGUAGGUUAGAGCUUAUAGGGAGAAAAUGAAUAAACUAGCUUAGGUGUGCAUACCUGGGUUAUGCUUUAGGAAGACUUUUUAUAGUGCUCAAGAGAAAGUUAAUGUAGUGCUGAGUAGAUACUUUGACCUUCACUGUAAUAAUGGUUAUCCUGCAGGUGGCAGAGCAAUCAUUGCAGUUUAGGGCAACUAGCAAGUUCCAUCAAAUGAUGUGUCAUAAUGUAGCUGCCCAUCAUUUCAACCUUCUGGAGAUAUGAGGCAAUGUGUGAUAAUUUGUUGACAUCAAGGAUGAAAAUAUCGGUAAUUACGGAUAUAUCGAUAUUUCGAUUUUACGGAUAUAUCGAUAUUUCGAUUUUACGGAUAUAUCGGAAAUAUAUCGAUGGAUAUUUUGAUAUAAAAUAUUAGUAGACCUAAAAUUGACCAAAACUUAUAAAAAUAUAAAAUAAAACUUUUAGAAAUGAAAUUAAAAUAUAAUAGAUAUUUUAAAAUUAUUUUAUUAAAUAAAUUAAUGUAUAUAUAAUAUUGUACGUGUCAAUAAAAAAAUAUAAAUUUGAUAAGUGUAUAUUGAUUAUUAAAUUAUAUUAAAUAUUAUUUGAUCAUUAUAUUGUGAUAUUUGAUUAUAAUAUAUUUCGAUGGAUAUUUUAACACAAAAUAUCGGUAAAUCUAAAAUUGAUCAAAACUUAUAAAAAUAUAUUAAAAAAAACUUUUAAAAAUAAAAUUAAAAACAUAAUAGACAUUUUAAAGUUAUUUUUUCGAAUAAAUUGAUAUAUAUAUAUAUAUAUAUAUAUAUAUAUAUAUAUAUAUAUAAUAUUGUACAUGUUAAUAAAAAAUAUAAAUUUGAUAAGUGUAUAUUGAUUAUUGAAUUAUAUAAAAUAUUAUUUGAUGAUAAUAUUGUGAUUAUAAUAUGUUUAAUUUUAAAAUCUGUUUAAUAUUAAAAUAGUGAUAUAUUAUAAAAUAAAUGAUAAUAAAUAUAUAAAAUAUUAAUAUAUUAAUAAUAUUAAAAACUCUAUGAAUAAAAUUAUGAUAUUUUUUACUAAUCAAUUAAAUGAAAAUUUUUCAUUUAAUUAUAAAAUAGUCAUAAUUAAUUUGUUAUUUAAAGUGUUUUUUUAAUAUUUUAUUUAUAUUCUAAGUUUUAAUAUAUAUUUCUUUAGAGUGUCAUAUUUAUCAAAGAGCAUGUUUGCCCUAGUGGAACUGGGCCUGACAUAGAAAUCUUUUGUUGGGGGUUCGAAUCCCCCCAACAGCAGGAAGAAAAAAAGCUUAAUUUUGACCGUUGACCGCCUGUGUUGACCGAGCGUUGACCGGCGAUAUAUCUCUGCUGCACCCACCGACACACCGAUAUUUCGCCGAAAUAUCGCCUAAUUCCAAAGGGAAUGAUUACACGUAGCAAGGGAGUUCCGAGCACUGUGGCAAUUAUCUGGACAAUGCUGAGGGAAGUGACGCAUGGACUGACACGUGGAAGGUCCCUACAAUUACUACUCCUCAUUCACGUCUACCAAACAGGCCUUUGGGAUGAAAAUUAUAUACGUCAAUUCCAAGUUUCCAACCCAACACAAUUAUAUUAUUCACCUAAAUCACACUAAACCCAAUUUCCAUUUUUUUGGUGCAUCCAACCUGGAAUAUGUACAUUUUAAUGUAAUUCCUGCACAAAUGAGAAAAGUGAAUAAGCCAUCUUCCUCGACAUUCUUCUUGUAAAUUGAAGAGCAAGAUUUAUUUAUUUAUUUAUUUAUUUGCAUUUUAAAAACCAAUGUGAAAUUUGUCUUUUGAUUUUGAGCAUCCAUGAUGCCGAUAUGUACAUUUCAAUUACCACAUGAAGCAGGAAGUUCAAUCUUAAAUACCGAACAUCAAGCAGAAACCACUACACCCAGUAGAUGUAGAUUUUAAUAUUCAAUGGGUUCAUUCCAAUUGCCACAUUAUUUUCAGCAACCAGAACUCAAAAAAAGCCACACAAAUAACACGAUUAUAAGGAUAUGGGGGAUCGGAUACCUUAUUUUAUUUCCCAGUAUAAUUUUGAGACAAUCAAAUUCUGAGCUGCAGAGUCUGAAAUCCAAUAAAGGAGCUUUGGAGUCUAUGGUGGUGUACCGGGAUGAACCAUCACCUUCCAAAUUAAAAUUCUAGGGCUAUACCACAAACAGAAUUCUGAGAUGUAUUGGGUAUUACAUGAUGAAUAACCCAAGAAAACUAGUACCGUAGAAGAGCUUCAAAGGGAAGAGAAAAUGGGAACACCCGGCAGGGUUGCGCCUGCAUCGACAUUGAAAACGUUACCUGAUAUGUAUCGUGAAGAAUCAUGAAUCAAGUAUCGCACCAGGGAUGUCAAUGCAGGGUCCGAUGUUCCAUAGGCCCGCAAGGGGCAUGUUCUCUGAACCACAGUGUUGAGCCAGUCUUUUUGCAUAAGGCCCGCAGUUAUCUCCGAUUUGAAUAUUCCAGGUGCUAUUGCAUUCGCUCUAAUAUUGUAUGCCCCCAAUUCCAAAGCCAUUACCUGGAAUUGUUAUUAUUUGGAAAAAAAAUAAAUAAAUAAUCAUUCUUCAGUGCCAGACUCAGAUGAGUGUGUAGGAAUAAAGGUUCUACAACAUUUUUGCAUGGAAAAACAGUUGAAGAUGGCAGGAAAUAUACAAUAAAAUGUCGAAUCGAAAUAAGUAUAAUGCUAUAUAAACACAAGCCCUUAACCAGAUUUACAGAAAAUGACUUACAUCUUGGAUAGACAAACUGUACGUAUCAUGCAAAAGCGGAGAAUAAUAUUGGGAUUUUUUGCAUGGGAAGCAAGGUGAGAAGAAUAUUGACUUUUUGUACAUUGAUUUUUAUCUUCUCUUUUUAUACAUUUUAUAUACUCCUCAUGCUUAUUAAAAAAAAAAAAAGACAAAAAUAAUAUUAAAAAUUAAAAAUAAAAUAACAAGACAAGCAUAAUAUAGUGAACAUAAACAUUUGACUACAUUUUCACAAUAUAUUUAAAUCUAACGUUGAAUUUCCUAACUCACCUUUGUUUGCCAGAAUAUAUUAGAAACAAAUUUAAAACAUGUCAGAGAUAUUACCUUUGUCAUGGCGCUCAAGCCUGACUUGGAAGACACAUAGGCUACUGCUCCAGGUGACUGUCCCCGAUUAAGAGAAACAAUGGAAGAAAUAUUGAUGAUUGAUCCUCCAUUCUUGGCAUCCCUCAUGCGCAUACCGACAUAUUUUGACACCAACCAUGAUCCCGUCAAGUUUGUCUUCAGAGUAUUGUUCCAUUCCUCCUCAGAUAUAUCCAGAGGAGAGUUCACAUUGCCUAAGGCACACAGGGCACAGGGCAUGGGUUAAAUACAUCUACCACGCAUUACGUUCACAAAUAUUAGCAGAACACCAGAGAUAAAUUAAAUGAGUAAUAUUGAUGAGAAAAAUAUAUGUGAUUGACUCGGUAUAGAUACCCAGUUGACUUGGUAUAGAUACCCAGUUGACUCGCUGAUUAGUUUCAAAUUUCAGUUAGAACUGAAUGAAAUGAAACGUGCGCUAGAAUUGACAGUAUGAGAAAAACAAGGUUUCCAAAAGUCAGCUGCAAAACGGGAAAUUCAGGAUACAGGAAUAUCAGGAUCGUGCAAAAUCAAAAUUUACCUCUAAUGCCCGCAUUAUUUAGCAAAACAUCGAUACGUCCAAAGGCCUCCCAAGCCUUCUGAACGGAGGCGCUGAUGGAGGAGCCACCGCUGGUGACGUCAAGUUCGACUACUACGGCUCGGACAGGCCUGUCAGCGUUUGGAGGAAGGUUCGAGUGGGUGAGGUUGUUGAUCUCGUCGCAGAGAGACUUGAGUCGGUCAACUCGGCGGGCGGCCGCCACUAUCUUGCAGCCGGCUUUGGCGAGGUUGAGGCAGAACUCGCUGCCGAGACCCGAGGAAGCGCCGGUGACCAAGACCACCUUGCCCUCCAGGUCUUGCCAUGGCUCGAGGUGGUCCGCGACUUGGCAUGCCAUCAAUGCGGUUCAGAAUCUCCAGAGAAAGUAGGCACCAGCUCUUAGAGGGAAAAAAGUAAAGCAAAGAAAAAUUGAUAAUCUGAUAAUAAAUAAGAAUGAAUUAAAAGGGGAAAUAAACUCCCUAUAUAUUCUAUUGCGACAUUGCGUGUACAAAUUCCAUUUGUUUAUGUAU